rnacentral:rRNA from 1 species
UACGUAGGGAGCAAGCGUUGUCCGGAAUCAUUGGGCGUAAAGCGCGCGUAGGUGGCUUCGUAAGUCCGUUGUGAAAGUCAAAGGCUCAACCUUUGAAAGCCGAUGGAUACUGCGGAGCUAGAGUACGGAAGAGGCGAGUGGAAUUCCUGGUGUAGCGGUGGAAUGCGCAGAUAUCAGGAGGAACACCAAUAGCGAAGGCAGCUCGCUGGGACGGUACUGACGCUGAGGCGCGAAAGCGUGGGGAGCGAACAGG